CACGUAUCGCUUGUUCUGACAACGAUUCCUGGACUAAAAAGCUGUGAUCCUAGACUAAAUAGCAUUUUUUAUGAAUUCUCUAUUUCUUCGUAAUCCAAGACUUAAUCUGUAUCCAGGAAAUAGACCCUAUAUGUGUUGACCAGUGGAUUAUCUGUGACCAUGAGGUAAUAAAGAAACUAAUAGGAUUACAACCGUCCAGUCUGGAACAGCAGAAGUGGAACAAGACAAGUACAGAUCAACAGCACAAUCCCUACAGAACACUAAACACACACACGGGGACACAGUACUCAGAAACACAUUACUCAAUACCAAGGACAACAACCUGCUAGCUUCUACUGACUGAGCUUCCUGUGAUCGGACAAGAUGAGGUUUCUGAUUGGUUGGGUUGUGUUGGUCAUGUCAUUGGGGGUCUUGCAAUGCGCAGCAGAAGACACUGCAGCAGGCAUCUCAGAGGACACCCUGAAGCAACUGUCUGAUGUUGGGGAGAAGCUGGUGGAUGAGGAGGUGAGGAGAGCUCUGUAUGGAGUGAAACAGAUGAAGGAGGUACUGGUGAAGAAUGAGGAGAAACAUGAAGACCUGAUGAAGUCUCUCCAACACAGCAGUGACAAGAAGAAGGGUGUGGCCCAGCAAUACCAGGAGGUGGAGCUAAAGCUGGAGGAGGCGGAGCAUCAGUGCCAGGAGUCUCUAAAGGAGGAAUGGGAGGCAUGUUGGCUGUGUCUGGAGGACGCCUGUAAGACCUUCUACACCUCCACAUGCAGGCAGGGCUUCAGCUCCUUCCAGGCCAAGGUAGAGAACUUCUUCCGCGGGGUGUCAUCUCGGUUCGGCCAGAGAGACCCACGUCCUCUAGAUGGAGAUAUGUUGGUGAACCAGAGCGCUGAUAAACCCGACAGGGAGGUAGUUCGCAUAGAAGACUCCUUCAACAGCCUCAUCGCCAAGGUGGGCUCCCUGUUUGAGCGCAGUGUGGUGCUGGUGGACAAGAUGCAAGGUAAACUGGACCAAAACCUCCAGAAGGCCUUUGACCCCCAGAGCAGAGGCCAAGCCCGGGGCCAACAGCCUACCCAGGACCCCUUCUCCCUGGGGAUGGACUUGGGCUUCAUCCACAGAGUGGGGAUGGAGGAGGUCCUGGACUCCUUCUUUAACUUUGGGAAGAGUGUUGUGGAGGACUUUGGGGACGUGGUCACACGAGUGUUUGAUGACCUCAAAGACGUUGUGGAGGAGGAGAGGAAGAGAGAGAGGGAGCUGUUCCCUCAUUUCCUCCAGAACAGGAAGUUGUGUAGAGAGUUGAGGAGGCAGACUUCAGAAUGCUGGCAGCUGCAGAACCAGUGUCAGUCCUGCCAAGGGGUGCAGCUCACAGAGUGUCCCAGUGUGCGGGAGCUGCAUGUGGAACUGGAUGAGGUGUCUCAGCUGCGGGACAUGUCGAAGGAGCAGUACGACGAGGUUCUGAGCAUUGUGCAGCAGCACACAGGUGACACGGCGAGCUGGAUAAGCAACAUGGCUACUGAGUUCAGCUGGGUGACAGAAAUGGUCAACAACAACACCACACCUGAUACCAAAUUCCGCAUCAGAAAGGUCAGACAGACAGACAGACAGACAGACAGACAGACAGACAGACAGACAGACAGACAGACAGACAGACAGACAGACAGACAGACAGACAGACAGACAGACAGACAGACAGUAAGUACAUACCGUAAAACUUAAAUGAAUAACCGAGGCAUUCAUUUGCUUAAAUCCCUGAAAACAACAUGCUCUUAUUAGAGAAAGGUUUAUAUUGUGGUGUCAGUAUAUUGUUGUUUCUACCCAGGAGGUGUCAAUAUUAGUACAGCAUAUUGUUUCUACCCAGGAGGUGUCAGUAUAUUGUUGUUUCUACCCAGGAGGUGUCAGUAUAUUGUUGUUUCUACCCAGGUGGUGUCAGUAAAUUGUUGUUUCUACCCAGGUGGUGUCAGUAUAUUGUUGUUUCUACCCAGGUGGUGUCAGUAUAUUGUUGUUUCUACCCAGGAGGUGUCAGUAUAUUGUUGUUUCUACCCAGGUGGUGUCAGUAUAUUGUUGUUUUGACCCAGGUGGUGUCAGUAUAUUGUUGUUUCUACCCAGGUGGUGUCAGUAUUUUGUUGUUUCUACCCAGGUGGUGUCAGUAUAUUGUUGUUUCUACCCAGGUGGUGUCAGUAUAUUGUUGUUUCUACCCAGGAGGUGUCAGUAUAUUGUUGUUUCUACCCAGGUGGUGUUAGUAUAUUGUUGUUUCUACCCAGGUGGUGUCAGUAUAUUGUUGUUUCUACCCAGGAGGUGUCAGUAUAUUGUUGUUUCUACCCAGGAGGUGUCAGUAUAUUGUUGUUUCUACCCAGGUGGUGUCAGUAUAUUGUUGUUUCUACCCAGGAGGUGUCAGUAUUUUGUUGUUUUUACCCAGGUGGUGUCAGUAUAUUGUUGUUUCUACCCAGGUGGUGUCAGUAUAUUGUUGUUUCUACCCAGGAAGUGUCAGUAUAUUGUUGUUUCUACCCAGGAGGCGUCAGUAUAUUGUUGAUUCUACCCAGGAGGUGUCAGUAUAUUGUUGUUUCUACCCAGGUGUUGUCAGUAUAUUGUUGUUUCUACCCAGGUGGUGUUAGUAUAUUGUUGUUUCUACCCAGGUGUUGUCAGUAUAUUGUUGUUUCUACCCAGGUGGUGUUAGUAUAUUGUUGUUUCUACCCAGGUGGCGUCAGUAUAUUGUUGUUUCUACCCAGGAGGUGUCAGUAUAUUGUUGUGUCUACCCAGGAGGUGUCAGUAUAUUGUUGUUUCUACCCAGGAGGUGUCAGUAUAUUGUUGUUUCUACCCAGGUGGUGUCAGUAUAUUGUUGUUUCUACCCAGGAGGUGUCAGUAUAUUGUUGUUUCUACCCAGGUGGUGUCAGUAUAUUGUUGUUUCUACCCAGGUGUUGUCAGUAUGAGUACAGUAUGUUGUUUCUACCCAGGUGUUCUCAGCAUGAUCACAAUUUAUUGUUGAUUCUACCCAGGUGGUGUCAGUAAGAGUACAACACAUUGUUUUUUUUACCCAGGUGGUGUCAGAGGGAGUUGAUGGAGGCAGCUCGUCAGGGGGAGACACCAAGGUGGAGCUGAACAUCCUAAACUCUCCUCCUCUCCUCCUGACCAUUCCAGCUGGUGUGGAGCUGCAGGACCCCGCCUUUAUAAAUUUCG